UUUUAUUUGAGAGUUUGAUCCUGGCUCAGGAUGAACGCUGGCGGCGUGCCUAACACAGGGAGGAUGAGCGAUUGACGUCGGUAAAGAGGGGCGGACGAGUGGGUAACUCGUGGGUAACCUACCCUGUACACACGGAUAACAAAACGAAAGGUAUGCUGAUACGGGAGAAUAUAUUUGAGAGGCAUCUCUUGAAUAUCAAAGGUGAGCCAAUACAGGAUGGACCCGCGUCUGAUUAGCUAGUUGGUAAGGUAACGGCUUACCAAGGCGACGAUCAGUAGCCGACCUGAGAGGGUGAUCAGCCACAUUGGAACUGAGACACGGUCCAAACUCCUACGGGAGGCAGCAGUGGGGAAUAUUUCACAAUUGGCGAAAGCAUGAUGCGGCCACUCCGCGUGAGUGAUGAGGGCCUUCGGGUCGUAAAACUCUGUCCUCAA
rnacentral:rRNA from 1 species